UGUGGGGUAGCCGUAGCGAAAGCGAGUCUGAAUAGGGCGAUUCAGUGGCGUGUUCUAGACCCGAAGCGGAGUGAUCUACCCAUGGCCAGGGUGAAGCGUCGGUAAGACGUCGUGGAGGCCCGAACCCACUUCAGUUGAAAAUGGAGGGGAUGAGUUGUGGGUAGGGGUGAAAGGCCAAUCAAACUCCGUGAUAGCUGGUUCUCCCCGAAAUGCAUUUAGGUGCAGCGUCGCAUGUUUCUCACCGGAGGUAGAGCUACUGGAUGGCCGAUGGGCCCUACAAGGUUACUGAUGUCAGCCAAACUCCGAAUGCCGGUGAGUGAGAGUGCGGCAGUGAGACUGCGGGCGAUAAGGUUCGUAGUCGAGAGGGAAACAGCCCAGAUCGCCGGCUAAGGCCCCUAAGCGUGUGCUAAGUGGGAAAGGAUGUGGAGUUGCGAAGACAACCAGGAGGUUGGCUUAGAAGCAGCCACCCUUGAAAGAGUGCGUAAUAGCUCACUGGUCAAGUGAUCCUGCGCCGACAAUGUAGCGGGGCUCAAGUACACCGCCGAAGCCGCGGCACUCACAUAGUCUCCUGUCUUCUGCCUGCGGGUGGUUGGCUAGGUGUGUGGGUGGGUAGGGGAGCGUCCUGCAUCCAGGGAAGCCGCGGAGUGAUCCAGUGGUGGAGGGUGUGGGAGUGAGAAUGCAGGCAUGAGUAGCGAAAGCGAAGUGAGAAACUUCGCCGCCGAAUGAUCAAGGGUUCCUGGGCCAGGCUAAUCCGCCCAGGGUGAGUCGGGACCUAAGGCGAGGCCGACAGGCGUAGUCGAUGGACAACGGGUUGAUAUUCCCGUACCCGUGUUUCCGCGCCCGUGAUGAAUCACAUGUACUAACCAUCCAAAACCGCCGAGAAGACCUUCGGGUCUCGAGUGUGGGGCUGCAUGGGACCUUGUGUGGUAGUAGUCAAGCGAUGGGGUGACGCAGGAAGGUAGUGGGGCCAGUCAGUGGUUGUACUGGUGUAAGCCUGUAGGGCGAACGGUAGGCAAAUCCGCCGUUCACAUGGCCUGAGAGGUGACGCGUAGCCGAUUGAGGCGAAUUCCAUGAUCCUAUGCUGCCGAGAAAAGCCUCUAGCGAGUGGUGACACGGCCCGUACCCCAAACCAACACAGGUGGUCAGGUAGAGAAUACUAAGGCGAUCGAGAGAACUGUGGUUAAGGAACUCGGCAAAAUACCCCCGUAACUUCGGGAGAAGGGGGGCCAUUGCUGGUGACGACUGUACGGUCUGAGCUGGUGGUGGUCGCAGAGACCAGAGAGAAGCGACUGUUUACUAAAAACACAGGUCCGUGCGAAGUCGUAAGACGAUGUAUACGGACUGACGCCUGCCCGGUGCUGGAAGGUUAAGAGGACCGGUUAAUCCUUCGGGGUGAAGCUGAGAAUUUAAGCCCCAGUAAACGGCGGUGGUAACUAUAACCAUCCUAAGGUAGCGAAAUUCCUUGUCGGGUAAGUUCCGACCUGCACGAAUGGCGUAACGACUUC
rnacentral:rRNA from 1 species